UACGGAGGGUGCAAGCGUUAAUCGGAAUUACUGGGCGUAAAGCGCACGCAGGUGGCUGAGCGAGUCGAUCGUGAAAGCCCUGGGCUUAACCUGGGAAUUGCAGUCGAUACUACUCAGCUAGAGUAUGGGAGAGGGUAGUGGAAUUCCCGGUGUAGCGGUGAAAUGCGUAGAUAUCCGGAGGAACCCCAGAGGCGAAGGCGGCUUACUGGACUGAAACUGACGCUGAGUCACGAAAGCGUGGGGAGCAAACAGG
rnacentral:rRNA from 1 species